rnacentral:rRNA from 1 species
GGGUUGUGAGGUUAAGCGACUAAGCGUACACGGUGGAUGCCCUGGCAGUCAGAGGCGAUGAAGGGCGUACUAAUCUGCGAUAAGCGCCGGUAAGGUGAUAUGAACCGUUAUAACCGGCGAUACCCGAAUGGGGAAACCCAGUGUGAUUCGUCACACUAUCAUUAACUGAAUCCAUAGGUUAAUGAGGCGAACCGGGGGAACUGAAACAUCUAAGUACCCCGAGGAAAAGAAAUCAACCGAGAUUCCCCCAGUAGCGGCGAGCGAACGGGGAGGAGCCCAGAGCCUGAAUCAGCAUGUGUGUUAGUGGAAGCGUCUGGAAAGGCGCGCGAUACAGGGUGACAGCCCCGUACACAAAAGCGCAUGUGCUGUGAGCUCGAUGAGUAGGGCGGGACACGUGGUAUCCUGUCUGAAUAUGGGGGGACCAUCCUCCAAGGCUAAAUACUCCUGACUGACCGAUAGUGAACCAGUACCGUGAGGGAAAGGCGAAAAGAACCCCGGCGAGGGGAGUGAAAAAGAACCUGAAACCGUGUACGUACAAGCAGUGGGAGCCCCACCACCAAAGCAUUUGCUGUACCGCGUUGACGGAGCGAAGCGACGUCAAACCGAUAAAACAGCAGUGUAAAGUGA